UCACAACGAACGCUGGCGGCAGGCCUAACACAUGCAAGUCGAGCGCCCCUUCGGGGGAGCGGCGGACGGGUGAGUAACACGUGGGAACGUGCCCUUUCGUCUGGGAUAACAGUUGGAAACGACUGCUAAAACCGGAUGCGCCCUACGGGGGAAGGAAGGAUCGGCCCGCGUCUGAUUAGGUAGUUGGUGGGGUAACGGCCUACCAAGCCGACGAUCAGUAGCUGGUCUGAGAGGAUGAUCAGCCACACUGGGACUGAGACACGGCCCAGACUCCUACGGGAGGCAGCAGUGGGGAAUCUUGGACAAUGGGGGAAACCCUGAUCCAGCCAUGCCGCGUGAGCGAUGAAGGCCUUAGGGUCGUAAAGCUCUUUCACCGGUGAAGAUAAUGACGGUAGCCGGAGAAGAAGCCCCGGCUAACUCCGUGCCGGCAGCCGCGGUAAUACGGAGGGGGCUAGCGUAGUUCGGAAUUACUGGGCGUAAAGCGCGCGUAGGCGGGCUGUUAAGUCGGGGGUGAAAUCCCGGGGCUCAAACCCGGAACUGCCUUCGAUACUGGCAGCCUAGAGGACGGGAGAGGCCAGUGGAAUGGCGAGUGUA
rnacentral:rRNA from 1 species